rnacentral:rRNA from 1 species
AGAGUUUGAUCCUGGCUCAGGAUGAACGCUGGCGGCGUGCUUAACACAUGCAAGUCGAGCGAAGCACUUAAGUUUGAUUCUUCGGAUGAAGACUUUUGUGACUGAGCGGCGGACGGGUGAGUAACGCGUGGGUAACCUGCCUCAUACAGGGGGAUAACAGUUGGAAACGACUGCUAUACCGCAUAAGCGCACAGGGUCGCAUGACCUGGUGUGAAAAACUCCGGUGGUAUGAGAUGGACCCGCGUCUGAUUAGCCAGUUGGUGGGGUAACGGCCUACCAAAACGACGAUCAGUAGCCGACCUGAGAGGGUGACCGGCCACAUUGGGACUGAGACACGGCCCAAACUCCUACGGGAGGCAGCAGUGGGGAAUAUUGCACAAUGGGGGAAACCCUGAUGCAGCGACGCCGCGUGAGCGAAGAAGUAUUUCGGUAUGUAAAGCUCUAUCAGCAGGGAAGAAGAAAUGACGGUACCUGACUAAGAAGCACCGGCUAAAUACGUGCCAGCAGCCGCGGUAAUACGUAUGGUGCAAGCGUUAUCCGGAUUUACUGGGUGUAAAGGGAGCGCAGGCGGUACGGCAAGUCUGAUGUGAAAGCCCGGGGCUCAACCCCGGUACUGCAUUGGAAACUGUCGGACUAGAGUGUCGGAGGGGUAAGUGGAAUUCCUAGUGUAGCGGUGAAAUGCGUAGAUAUUAGGAGGAACACCAGUGGCGAAGGCGGCUUACUGGACGAUUACUGACGCUGAGGCUCGAAAGCGUGGGGAGCAAACAGGAUUAGAUACCCUGGUAGUCCACGCUGUAAACGAUGAAUACUAGGUGUCGGGGAGCAUUGCUCUUCGGUGCCGCAGCAAACGCAAUAAGUAUUCCACCUGGGGAGUACGUUCGCAAGAAUGAAACUCAAAGGAAUUGACGGGGACCCGCACAAGCGGUGGAGCAUGUGGUUUAAUUCGAAGCAACGCGAAGAACCUUACCAAGUCUUGACAUCCCGAUGACAGAACAUGUAAUGUGUUUUCUCUUCGGAGCAUCGGUGACAGGUGGUGCAUGGUUGUCGUCAGCUCGUGUCGUGAGAUGUUGGGUUAAGUCCAGCAACGAGCGCAACCCCUAUUCUUAGUAGCCAGCGGUUCGGCCGGGCACUCUAGGGAGACUGCCAGGGAUAACCUGGAGGAAGGUGGGGAUGACGUCAAAUCAUCAUGCCCCUUAUGACUUGGGCUACACACGUGCUACAAUGGCGUAAACAAAGGGAAGCGAGCCUGCGAGGGGGAGCAAAUCUCAAAAAUAACGUCUCAGUUCGGACUGCAGUCUGCAACUCGACUGCACGAAGCUGGAAUCGCUAGUAAUCGCGAAUCAGAAUGUCGCGGUGAAUACGUUCCCGGGUCUUGUACACACCGCCCGUCACACCAUGGGAGUUGGUAAUGCCCGAAGUCAGUGACCUAACCGCAAGGAGGGAGCUGCCGAAGGCAGGAUCGAUAACUGGGGUGAAGUCGUAACAAGGUA